rnacentral:rRNA from 1 species
GGUUCGAUUCUGGCUCAGAUUGAACGCUGGCGGGAUGCUUUACAUGCAAGAAGUCGAACGGCGGCACGGACUUCGGUCUGGUGGCGAGUGGCGAACGGGUGAGUAAUGUAUCGGAACGUGCCUAGUAGCGGGGGAUAACUACGCGAAAGCGUAGCUAUUACCGCAUACGCCCUUCGAGAAAGCGGGGACCUUCGGGCCUCGCACUAUUAGAGCGGCCGAUAUCGGAUUGGCUAGUUGGUGGGGUAACGGCUCACCAAGGCGACGAUCCGUAGCUGGUUUGAGAGGACGACCAGCCACACUGGGACUGAGACACGGCCCAGACUCCUACGGGAGGCAGCAGUGGGGAAUUUUGGACAAUGGGGGAAACCCUGAUCCAGCCAUCCCGCGUGUGCGAUGAAGGCCUUCGGGUUGUAAAGCACUUUUGGCAGGAAAGAAACGGCACGGGAUAAUACCCCGUGCAACUGACGGUACCUGCAGAAUAAGCACCGGCUAACUACGUACCAGCAGCCGCGGUAAUACGUAGGGUGCAAGCGUUAAUCGGAAUUACUAUGAGGCGUAAAGCGUGCGCAGGCGGUUCGGAAGAAAGAUCUUGAAAUCCCAGGAAGCAACUUUGGGCACAUUUUUAACUACCGAGCUAGAGUGUGUCAGAGGAAGUGGAAUUCCGCGUGUAGCAAUUAAGUACGUGGAAGAUAUGCGGAGGAACACCGAUGGCGAAGGCAGCCUCCUGGGAUAACACUGACGCUCAUGCACGAAAGCAUGGGAGCAAGCGGAUUAGAUGCCCUGGUAGUCCACGCCCUAAACGAUGUCCAACUAGCUGUUGGGGCCGGGCCUUGGUAAGCUAACGCGUAAGUUGACCGCCUGGGAAAUACGGUCAUAAAGAUUAAAACUCAAGGAAUUGACGGGGACCCGCACAAGCGGUGGAUGAUGUGGAUUAAUUCGAUGCAACGCGAAAAACCUUACCUACCUUGACAUGUCUGGAAUCCCGAAGAGAUUUGGGAGUGCUCGCAAGAGAACAACCGGAGAACACAGGUGCUGCAUGGCUGUCGUCAGUAGUGUCGUGAGAUGUUGGGUUAAGUCACAACAGGCGCAACCCUUGUCAUUGAAUUUUGCUACGAGGAGCACUCUAAUGAGACUGCCGGUGACAAACCGGGGAAGGUGGGGAUGACGUCAAGUCCUCAUGGCCUGCUCGGUAGGGCUUCACGUCAUACAAUGGUCGGGACAGAGGGUCGCCAACCCGCGAGGGGGCAAAUCCAGGAAACCCGAUCGUAGUCCGGAUCGCAGUCUGCAACUCGACUGCGUGAAGUCGGAAUCGCCUAGUAAUCGCAGCAGAUCAGCAUGUCGCGGUGAAUACGUUCCGGGUCUUGUACACACCGCCCGUCACACCAUGGGAGUGGGUUUUACCAGAAGUAGUUAGCCUAACCGUAAGGAGGCGAUUACCACGGUAGGAUUCAUGACUGGGGUGAAAUUCGUAACAAGGUAA